AUGAUGCUAAAUCGAAUUAUCUGGAGAACAUCUGAUUUGCUUUUUCCUUAGCGAACUCUGAAAGCUAAACAAGGCCCCAGGCACCCUGACUGCUCCUUCCGGGUUGGACACUUCAACAGCGCGUUAACUUUUAAGCGUCUUCAGAUUCACUUCAAACUAAUCCAUUGCUUGGAGAACGCAUCAUACUCUCCCGAUUCCACCGGAAACUUUCCACCAGCUGCCGGCGCUGGCGGCAGAGGGCCCGGCUCUUCCCUUCCGGGGUCCUCAGGGUCUGCAGCUGCGAUUGUAGCAGGGUCUAGUCCCUACGGGGGUCAGGGGUGCUUGCCCCUCUUCAAUCCCUGCUGGCCGGAUCAGAACUGAAUCCUGCCUUCUACCGCCGAUCUCUUUCCGGAGAAGCUGCGGAACCCCGGCGUCCCGCGGGCCGCUCAAACCACAGCCCGGGCACUUCCGGGAGGAGAGGCGCCGCGCGGCUUAGCGCGUGCGCAGUGCGCAGCCACCGCCUCCCGCGAGUCGGGUUCCCGCUUUGCGGCGGCUGCGCCCGGGGCCGGCAGAGCCGCCAGGGGUGCUGCUGGUGUGCGGCUCGCCCCGCUGAUGGUUUAAGGGGAUCGUUCUGAGAUGAAGUGACCGUGCCGAACGUAGUUGACACGACUCGACAUCUUUUACGGUUGCUGUGGAUCCUCCAGUGCCAGAGCCCCCUUGGUUACAUGGUGUCUUAGCACUUGGAGCAUCUCCAGGGCAAGUGUGAGGGAUUUUGGAAACCCACAACUGGACGAAGGGCCCUCAUCCACUGCAGCCGUCUUAGCCUUGCUCAGAGAUAGCCUGGCCAAAAAAGAACUAUUCCAUAGGCCUUUCCUUCUGGCUAGUAAUUGCACUUGGUGAAUAUGUCUAUCCUAAAGGUCUGAUUUGCGUGAUGCCUGUUCAAAUAUAGGCUCUCCGGCUGGACCCCUUGGUGAUUUCCUAGAUCUGGCCAAGGCCUAGGAAUCUUUAACAAGCUAUCACGUGACUGAUUCUGUUACAGAUGACCCAGGACUGCUCUUUAGAAACACUGCCCUAAGGAAAUUACUUUAAACCUGAUCUAUUUGCAUGAGGUGUUUUCAUAAAACUAUUUAGAACAGAAAAAAAAAGAAAUGUGGUCAAGACCUCAAACCCCACUGUUGGGAAAGAUUAGAUAUUAUACGUUAAUGAAGCAAUGAUAUUUUACCAUUAAAUCUAAAAGAUUAAAAAAAAACCUAAAAGAUAUAAACCAUAGGGGCGCCUGGGUAGCGCAGUCGUUAAGUGUCUGCCUUCGGCUCAGGGUGUGAUCCCGGCUUUCCGGGAUCGAG